CAAUAUUAUGCUUUCUACCUACUUCUUAACAAUCUAUAACUUUUGGCUGAAGCGGAAAGUCGAAAAGAGCUUCUUUGCUGCAAAAGCACAAAAGCAAAAGCGUGCUGAACCUUUUGCUUCUUGCUUUUAUUUGAAGCUAGGUUGUCAUGGAUUUUAAUCGAAAAAGCUUUUAGGAGUUUGAUUCUUUUAGGGCUACUCUUUGCUUUCAUAGAUUCUAAAUAAACGGAAAAAAAA
rnacentral:lncRNA from 1 species